UGACUAUGUACUGCUGUCUAAACUGCCAUGUUUCAGGGAUCUUAUUGCAGAGGAGUUCCACCGUGAAGUACUUGUACAUUUCAGAGAGUGAUGCCAUCUGGUUUCUUUGUCUUGAUGAUAUUCUUCAUGGGAGUGGACCACGUCAUGAUUAGAGUCAAGGACACUAGACUGGAUUACGAGGUAUUGCCUCACGUCUCCACGAAUCCAAAUGAGAUUGUCAAUCACCUGACACUGAAGAAGGAAGUGUGUGAAAAGCUACAAUUCCCAGAUACAUCUAGUGAGGACAUAAGCUAG